GUUUAUUGCAUGUCUAUGUGUGUGUGUAUUUGGGCACUUACUGUGUGCCAGGCCCAGUGUCCCUUCAUAAUGACCCUCUGCCCCAAUUUAAAGAUGAAGAAACUGAGACUCAGAAUGGCCCUCAUCUGACGAAGGUCAUCUGCCUUCUGAGUGGCAGAGCCUGAAUCCCCGUCCCAGGUUCCUCUGGCUAUAACCUUUUCACCCCUGCUCUGUGCUGUAAUCCCUAAUACUGCCUUCUCCUUCGGGAAAGAAAGCGUAUAGGAGGCUGGCUUCACAGAACUUGGACAGCACUAGGUUUCAGUUCCUGUUCCCUUGACUACUAGCCAUGUGACCAUGAGCAAGUCAGUAAAUAUCUCUGCCUUAGUUUCUUCAUCCACAAAGUGGGGAUACCAAUCGUACCCGCCUCAUUGUACUGUGCGAGUCAAAUGAGGCAAUGACAGUGGAGGGCUGACCAGACAGACACCCGGCACACACUGGCACCUGCUCUAUAUUUUUCUUUAAAGAUCUUAUUUUUCCUUCUUCUCCCCAAAGCCCGCCAGUACACAGCUGUAUAUUCUAGUUGUGGGUUCUUCCAGUUGUGGGACAUGGGACGCCACCUCAGCAUGGCUUGAUGAGUGGUGAUAGAUCUGCGCCCAGGAUCCGAACUGGCGAAACCCUGGGCCCUCGAAGCAGAGCGCGUGAACCUAAACACUCGGCCACGGGGCCGGCCCCUGGCACCUCCUCUUAAUCAUCAUCAUACUAUUAUUAUUAUUCGGGUGAACUAAAAAAAAAAAAAUUUUAAAUCAGGAGAAGAGGCCAGAAAAGCUAUAGGAACACAAUGUUGCAAGAAGGUGGGAGUGAAGAAUAGAUGCCAGACCUCACUGGGAACAAGAGAAAUGCACAUUAAAACUGGCACGGAGUUACUGCAGUUCUCCUGUCAGGUGGGCAGGCGACAUUGCGUUGGAAAGGCUGUGGGGAAACAGCCUUAUUUAUAGAAGCAAAAGAUUAUACACAACUCAAGCGGAAUCAAGAGGAGACCUUGUAAGCAAAUGAUGCUCCACUUAUACUUUGGGAAACGAGGCAACCGUUAAAAAGAACAAGGACACUUGGUACUGACAUGAGAUGGUCUCUGAAGUGUAGGUAAAAUGCAAAGUGUGUCCCACCAGGGUAACCAGCAAGCCUCCUUUUGUGUAAAAAUGGAUAAAUAGGAAUAUUUUGCUUUGUAUUUGCUUCUGUUUGCACGAAGAAAUCAAAGAACUACACAAAUAGCCUGUAAAAAGAUGGAAACAGAUCCAAAUAUAUCAGUAGGUAUUAUAAAUGUAAAUGGACUAAACUUGUUAAUAAAAAGGCACAGAUUAUUGGAAUGGUGAAAAAGUCCAAAAUCUACCUCCUCCUUGCUUUUUAAAGACACAGCUUAAACGAGGUGGAAAAUUUCAAAGUCAUGGGGUAUGCAAAAACAUUUAAGGGUUUCUGUAACCUAAGGAAGCUAGAGUAGUUAUUUUAAUGUCAAAAAGAUAUACAUAAGCCCCUAGGCUGUGGAGAUGGGGGAGUGGGGAUUAAACAGAAGGAAGGAAGGAGAGGGCUUCCUGAGAUCACA
rnacentral:lncRNA from 1 species